CAGAGAGCUGGAAGUGAUGGAAGGAGGGACCCAGGUUCGGGUCAGAGCCUCCACAGGUUGGUUAGUUGUUGGGUUGUUUGGCUAGGGAAGGGGAGGCGGCGGGGUGACGCUGCGAGUAGGUCUGCGAGGGCAGCGUUGCUCCUCCGAACCCCACGCUCUCGAGCAAGGGAGGCAGGCAGAGAGCCUGAGGGAAGGAGUACUGGGAGGAGGGGGGCGGGGGGGGAGAGUGUGGGGGUGCGAAAAAAUUACCCCUUCUGCCUCGUCCCUCCCGCCCAAACUUUCUGUCCCAGGCAGGGGCUGCGGCAGCGGCCGCCCGCGCCCACAGCUGUCAAAAACGCCCCGCGGCUGCCGCCAACUUUGCGGUAAGGGCGACCGGCGGUGCCGCGCGGGGAUAGCCGCCCCUCUGCCUCCCGCUUCCCUCUUCCCACUUUCUCCUUCCCGCUCCUCCGCCCGGUUCCUUCCCGCAGCGGCUGCAGUCUCUCCCGCUGCUUCUCACUUACGAGCUCCAGGCGCUGCUGGAGCGAGCGGGAGAGAAAGUAGCUAGGAGAAAGGUGGAGGGAGGGCUGAGACAGGGGAAAAGACACGACGGAAAAUAAAGCGUAGCCCAGAGGAGGGAAUACCGGCAGCCGAGCCUGUUAGGCCACCCCUCGUGUCCUGCCUGUGAAAAAAUGCACUGGGAUGCGCUAGUUCAACCCAGAUCGGCUCCCUUCCGCAGCCUCUGUAUAAACACGAGAGUAGGAAUGACUGUUUAGAAAGUGAGCAUUUGGAGAACUUUUCAGAUUGGAGCACUGAGAAAUUGCAAGUUUGAGAUAGAGUCUGAGUAGGAAUUGCAGCUUGAGAGGAAUGGAAAUAUAAGUCACCCAAACUGUGAUGUCUCCACAUUGUGGUAUUUCUUGCUGUCUUGAUCUUCCUACUCACAUAAGGAAUUUGUGGUUCACUUGAAUCUUCUGCCCAUUUUGCAGACCUGGAGGUUCUGUCCAGAGGAUGUGCCCAACCAACAUAGCAGAAGUGAGACUUAAGGCACCAGUAGCAUACAAGAGGCUACAGCAACAUAACAAACUGAAAUCCUCCAUAUUUUGAUGUCUGACAAAGUGAGAAAGAGCACUUCUAUAGUUAUUACACUAUAAUUCAAAUGUAAAUGAAAUCUACAGUUUACCAGUAGAAAGAAUCUCCAGACGAGAAAUUGCGUCGUCUUGAUAGAAAAUUUAUGUUCUCUAAUCCACAACUAGUAAAGCAAAAAAUCCAGCAUAAAAAUAACCAUCAACAU